UACGAGUUUGAUCAUGGCUCAGAACGAACGCUGGCGGCAUGCCUAACACAUGCAAGUCGAACGAGACCUUCGGGUCUAGUGGCGCACGGGUGCGUAACGCGUGGGAAUCUGCCCCUCGGUUCGGAAUAACACAGAGAAAUUUGUGCUAAUACCGGAUAAUGACUUCGGUCCAAAGAUUUAUCGCCGAGGGAUGAGCCCGCGUAAGAUUAGCUUGUUGGUGGGGUAAUGGCCUACCAAGGCGACGAUCUUUAGCUGGUCUGAGAGGAUGAUCAGCCACACUGGGACUGAGACACGGCCCAGACUCCUACGGGAGGCAGCAGUGGGGAAUAUUGGACAAUGGGCGAAAGCCUGAUCCAGCAAUGCCGCGUGAGUGAUGAAGGCCUUAGGGUUGUAAAGCUCUUUUACCAGGGAUGAUAAUGACAGUACCUGGAGAAUAAGCUCCGGCUAACUCCGUG
rnacentral:rRNA from 1 species